CUGCAGUUUAUCAUUGUUUAUUAUGAUUUUCAAAUGUUUGCAUAACAUGGACAGCUUAUGACAUAUGAUUUUUUUCUUCAAUUUGCACAGGAUUAUGUAUAGUCUGCUACAACAUAUACAAGAGAUGCAGUCAAAAGAAUGCUACAUGUAUGACUGAGGAAGAGAAUUUACCAGCUCAGCUACAUUGUACAAGUACCACCGGAG
rnacentral:lncRNA from 1 species